AAUGGACCAGCUCCUCAUUAGA
rnacentral:tRNA from 1 species